UACGAAGGGGGGCUAGCGUUGUUCGGAAUUACUGGGCGUAAAGGGCGCGCAGGCGCCUAUCAAGUCAGAUGUGAAAAGCCCCCGGGCUCAACCUGGGAACUGCAUUUGAGACUGAUAGGCUUGAGUUCGGGAGAGGAGAGCGGAAUUCCCAGUGUAGAGGUGAAAUUCGUAGAUAUUGGGAAGAACACCGGUGGCGAAGGCGGCUCUCUGGACCGAUACUGACGCUGAGGCGCGAAAGCGUGGGGAGCAAACAGG
rnacentral:rRNA from 1 species